AUUGAACGCUGGCGGCAUGCUUUACACAUGCAAGUCGAACGGUAACAGGCCGCAAGGUGCUGACGAGUGGCGAACGGGUGCGUAAUGCAUCGGAACGUGCCCAGUCGUGGGGGAUAACUACUCGAAAGAGUAGCUAAUACUGCAUACGAUCUAUGGAUGAAAGCGGGGGACCGUAAGGCCUCGCGCGAUUGGAGCGGCCGAUGUCAGAUUAGGUAGUUGGUGGGGUAAAGGCUCACCAAGCCAACGAUCUGUAGCUGGUCUGAGAGGACGACCAGCCACACUGGGACUGAGACACGGCCCAGACUCCUACGGGAGGCAGCAGUGGGGAAUUUUGGACAAUGGGCGCAAGCCUGAUCCAGCAAUGCCGCGUGCAGGAAGAAGGCCUUCGGGUUGUAAACUGCUUUUGUACGGAACGAAACGGCUCUGGUUAAUACCCGGGGCUAAUGACGGUACCGGAAGAAUAAGCACCGGCUAACUACGUG
rnacentral:rRNA from 1 species